UAAACUUGAACCCUGGAAAAUGGAGGUUUCUUCUUCAAGGUCAAGAAAGCUAAGGUUGUUCUCCGUUCCCUCCAUCUCUCUACUGGUUGUUCUCCGUUUAAGUAUUGGUGUUCCUCGAUCAAGGAACCUGCCGGAGUUGUGCAUUUUGUCGAACACAUUGUGGGCAUAGAUGUACUUUUUGUCCGAUUAUGGAGCAAGUUAGGACACCUUAGAGCUGAGCUUAGUAAAAGGGGAGUGAGUACUGAGUAGUCGGGCAAUGGCUGACGUGAUGGACAAAGCCAAAACAAUUAACAAUUUAACGCUAUCAGUGCUCGAACUGUCUGCAUGCUGCACCCUUCACAAAAUAUCCAGAAGAAACCGAGGGGCUUAGGGUUAAACUGAAGCCUUCAUAUGCAUCCUCAUUCCUCAAGAUAUGUUGAUUUCAAACCCUUAAUUUUCAAUUAGGUAGGUCAAGCCAGAUGUGCUACUUGGUUUCUGUAGUUGGUGGUCUCUUGAAUGAAGAGGUGAGUGUAUCAUGAGGUCUCUUUACAUUUUUAUGCAGGACUGAAAUGGAGUGAUGACUAAUGAGUAAAUACUACGGAGUAAUUUAUAUGGAUUAUGUAUACUAUUUCAAAGAUUAUGAAACCGCUUGUUGGGGAUCUUGAUUAUUUGAUUGGUAAAACAUCACCAAACUAAUUAGAGAGAUUAAAAGUGAGAAAUAUAUGAGUUCUAAAUUUAGAUAUGGUUAAUUUGUGACCAUUGGUUAAGAUUGCACCCAUUCUAUGAAACUUUAAGAAAUAUUAACUCUAGAUGGUUUGGAUCCCUCUUGUAUAAGAGAACAUAAAGCGAUCUUAAUGAAGCUUCUGUGAUUUAACCUUGAAAGAUUUGGUGUCAAUUUAAUUUUAACUCAUUACCUCCUACAAAGAUGUGAUUAUCAAUGAACUCACAUGUUUGUUAUUGAAGCUGUAUCAACUAGGACAUGUAUGCUGGAUGCAAAGUUCUUUACCGUUCCCUUAAACAAUUUCAUGUCGAAUGAGCUGAUACCACAACAUACUUCCGUAUACUUCAAAUGUUAGAUUAAGUGAAUUGCAGAGUCAUAAUUCUUUUUAUUAGUGAAUCCAAGUUUGGUGGAGUGCUGACUUGGGACAUGUAUUUGAAAGUAUAUUAUGCAACCCUAAAAGACGUGGACUAAUUGAGUAAUUGGAAGUAGUGAAAGAAUGUAGGUGGUUAUUGUUAUCUCUGUUGAUGGGGGUUAUUAUGUGUAGUUAUUCUUACUAUGAUUUGUAUGUUAAUACCUCAGGUUCCCGCGUCCUAUGUCUUUGGGUUGGAUAGGUAAUAUAUUCAGUUUUUUAUGUGGUCAAUUGGUUGUUAUUCUAGUGUCCUGAACUGAAAGUAGCUUUACAGAGAAGAGUAUCUGUCAUUUGAAAAUCUAAAAUAACUAUUUUUCAUUGGCAUUAUUUCGGUAUACCGAAAAUUUUCAUUGUUUCAUAUCUGUGCUAUUGGUAGUGUAAUGGCUAUUUGCACUGCUGUCUUGAGUGUCUUCACAUAAUGAGUAGCUUGGGGAUUGGGCCCUGGGUACAGGUUCUAGGUUAGAAUAAAAUUACAAUUUGUUGAGGGAGAGUAGUAUAUGGAAGCCAGAAUUAUCUCGUUGCCCCCCCUUAAUGCCAACCCAAAAUAUAAUAUUCAGUGAUUGGAAUUGGAACAUGUUUUCAGUUCUUCCAUGGUUCUUAGAGUUCUCACCAGUUUGCCAACGAUAUUCUUCCAAAUGAACAAGAAGUUGCUAAUAUUUUUUUUUCUG